AAAUUGAAGAGUUUGAUCAUGGCUCAGAUUGAACGCUGGCGGCAGGCCUAACACAUGCAAGUCGAACGGUAACAGGAAGCAGCUUGCUGCUUCGCUGACGAGUGGCGGACGGGUGAGUAACGUCUGGGAAACUGCCUGAUGGAGGGGGAUAACUACUGGAAACGGUGGCUAAUACCGCAUAACGUCGCAAGACCAAAGAGGGGGACCUUCGGGCCUCUUGCCAUCAGAUGUGCCCAGAUGGGAUUA
rnacentral:rRNA from 1 species